rnacentral:rRNA from 1 species
GAUGAACGCUGGCGGCGUGCCUAAUACAUGCAAGUCGAGCGAACGGACGAGAAGCUUGCUUCUCUGAUGUUAGCGGCGGACGGGUGAGUAACACGUGGAUAACCUACCUAUAAGACUGGGAUAACUUCGGGAAACCGGAGCUAAUACCGGAUAAUAUUUUGAACCGCAUGGUUCAAAAGUGAAAGACGGUCUUGCUGUCACUUAUAGAUGGAUCCGCGCUGCAUUAGCUAGUUGGUAAGGUAACGGCUUACCAAGGCAACGAUGCAUAGCCGACCUGAGAGGGUGAUCGGCCACACUGGAACUGAGACACGGUCCAGACUCCUACGGGAGGCAGCAGUAGGGAAUCUUCCGCAAUGGGCGAAAGCCUGACGGAAGCACGCCGCGUGAGUGAUGAAAGUCUUCGGAUCGUAAAACUCUGUUAUUAGGGAAGAACAUAUGUGUAAGUAACUGUGCACAUCUUGACGGUACCUAAUCAGAAAGCCACGGCUAACUACGUGCCAGCAGCCGCGGUAAUACGUAGGUGGCAAGCGUUAUCCGGAAAUUAUUGGGCGUAAAGCGCGCGUAGGCGGUUUUUUAAGUCUGAUGUGAAGGCCCACGGCGUCAACCGUGGAGGGUCAUUGGAAACUGGAAAACUUGAGUGCAGAAGAGGAAAGUGGAAUUCCAUGUGUAGCGGUGAAAUGCGCAGAGAUAUGGAGGAACACCAGUGGCGAAGGCGACUUUCUGGUCUGUAACUGACGCUGAUGUGCGAAAGCGUGGGGAUCAAACAGGAUUAGAUACCCUGGUAGUCCACGCCGUAAACGAUGAGUGCUAAGUGUUAGGGGGUUUCCGCCCCUUAGUGCUGCAGCUAACGCAUUAAGCACUCCGCCUGGGGAGUACGACCGCAAGGUUGAAACUCAAAGGAAUUGACGGGGACCCGCACAAGCGGUGGAGCAUGUGGUUUAAUUCGAAGCAACGCGAAGAACCUUACCAAAUCUUGACAUCCUUUGACAACUCUAGAGAUAGAGCCUUCCCCUUCGGGGGACAAAGUGACAGGUGGUGCAUGGUUGUCGUCAGCUCGUGUCGUGAGAUGUUGGGUUAAGUCCCGCAACGAGCGCAACCCUUAAGCUUAGUUGCCAUCAUUAAGUUGGGCACUCUAAGUUGACUGCCGGUGACAAACCGGAGGAAGGUGGGGAUGACGUCAAAUCAUCAUGCCCCUUAUGAUUUGGGCUACACACGUGCUACAAUGGACAAUACAAAGGGCAGCGAAACCGCGAGGUCAAGCAAAUCCCAUAAAGUUGUUCUCAGUUCGGAUUGUAGUCUGCAACUCGACUACAUGGAGCUGGAAUCGCUAGUAAUCGUAGAUCAGCAUGCUACGGUGAAUACGUUCCCGGGUCU